rnacentral:lncRNA from 1 species
ACAGGAAUACUGGAAAAUGGAAAGCAGAUACAAUCAAAUAUAGUACACACAUAAGCAAUAACAUUGAAACAUGGUGGAGCUAGUUGCUUUGAUCUUUCAAAGUGCUUCAUUUCCAGUUUUUGGAACCCACACUAGAUCAUUACUUGAUGGGAAGAAGUGACAGAUAGGUGAUGCUCCUGGUAAUACACCGAGCACUCGGAAAGAUACAUGAGAUGGAUCCCAUUCAGAUGUAUCCAAGUGACAUACAGCAAUUGAUUCCACUGUAUCACCAUUUGCUUCAUUCCUCAAUGAAACUUUGGACACCUUUCUUUCAUCGCUAAUCGUGUGAUGACAAUAGAAAACCGUGUAAUCACAAGACAGGAUAUGACACAUCACCAUCUUAGGAGCGGAAACUUCUUGUGGAACAUCCACAAUAGUAUAGUUCUGUGGGUGAGGAGUUGAGUCCUCGUUUGAGAAAUGAGUUGUUGUGGAUAGAGUUUUGACUUGGGUUUUCUCUCCCAUGAUCUCGUGAACAAAGUCGAGCAUUCCCUCCGCGGAUGUGGCACAGUACUGUGUCUCUCCCGUUAUAGGUGAUGAUAAUUCACAUAUUCUCAAUGCAUCUUCCAUGGAUUUAGCCUGUGGAGAGUUUUCAGACAACGAGAAACGUUGAAGAAGGUUUUGGAGUUCCUUGAAUGAAAAUGGAAUGGAAUCGGCUGCUUUUUUGGGAAAGAAAUUUUGCGGGGAAUUAGAAGGAGAAGAAAUUAGAUUUAUUCUUUUUUGAAAGGAGAGAGUUACUGUUUUCCCCAUCUUUAGAUCAUCCUGAAGGAAGAAAAUUGAUGCUAUCGAAGGAUCAUCCAUAUGUGUAUGGGAUGAUGAAUGCAUUAUAUGUUC